rnacentral:rRNA from 1 species
GUAGCAUAGGUAGCCGACGAGCGGAGGAGAUGGGUGACUAAUGCUUGGGAACAUGCCUUGAGGUGGGGGACAACAGUUGGAAACGACUGCUAAUACCGCAUAAUGUCUACGGACCAAAGGGGGCUUCGGCUCUCGCCUUUAGAUUGGCCCAAGUGGGAUUAGCUAGUUGGUGAGGUAAUGGCUCACCAAGGCGACGAUCCCUAGCUGGUUUGAGAGGAUGAUCAGCCACACUGGGACUGAGACACGGCCCAGACUCCUACGGGAGGCAGCAGUGGGGAAUAUUGCACAAUGGGCGCAAGCCUGAUGCAGCCAUGCCGCGUGUGUGAAGAAGGCCUUCGGGUUGUAAAGCACUUUCAGUCAGGAGGAAAGCGUGGUGGUUAAUACCCAUCAUGUGUGACGUUACUGACAGAAGAAGCACCGGCUAACUCCGUGCCAGCAGCCGCGGUAAUACGGAGGGUGCGAGCGUUAAUCGGAAUUACUGGGCGUAAAGCGUACGCAGGCGGUUUGUUAAGCGAGAUGUGAAAGCCCCGGGCUCAACCUGGGAACUGCAUUUCGAACUGGCAAACUAGAGUGUGAUAGAGGGUGGUAGAAUUUCAGGUGUAGCGGUGAAAUGCGUAGAGAUCUGAAGGAAUACCGAU